rnacentral:rRNA from 1 species
UACGUAGGGUGCAAGCGUUGUCCGGAAUUAUUGGGCGUAAAGGGCUCGUAGGCGGUUUGUCGCGUCGGGAGUGAAAACACACAGCUUAAACUGUGUGGCUGGCUUCCGAUACGGGCAGACUAGAGGUAUGCAGGGGAGAACGGAAUUCCUGGUGUAGCGGUAGAAAUGCGCAGAUAUCAGGAGGAACACCGGUGGCGAAGGCGGUUCUCUGGGCAUUACCUGACGUGAGGAGCGAAAGUGUGGGGAGCGAACAGG